rnacentral:tRNA from 1 species
GGCUACGUAGCUCGCUGGUUAGAGCACAUCACUCAUAAUGAUGGGGUCACAGGUUCGAACUCGUCGUAGCCACCA